rnacentral:rRNA from 1 species
UACAGAAGGUGCGAGCGUUAAUCGGAUUUACUGGGCGUAAAGGGCACGUAGGCGGUAGAAUGUGUGUGAUGUGAAAGCCCCGGGCUCAACCUGGGAAGUGCAUCGCAAACUAUUUAACUAGAGUAGAUGAGAGGGUGGCGGAAUUUCCAGUGUAGCGGUGAAAUGCGUAGAGAUUGGAAGGAACGUCAAUGGCGAAGGCAGCCACCUGGCAUCAUACUGACGCUGAGGUGCGAAAGCGUGGGGAGCGAACAGG